rnacentral:tRNA from 1 species
AGGGGUGUAACUCAGUGGUGUGUGCCUGCCUUCCAUGCAUGAGGUUCUGGGUUCCAUCCCCAGCACCACAA